GUAAAGAAAACCCCCACCGUAGAUUGUGGGACAUAUACCAAGAACAUCGUCUACAAAGAGGUCCUAACAAAUUAGACCCAUGGUAAGAGUUGCAUGUUCAGCUAACAAACUAAUAGGAUGAUGUUUGUCUUAUGUUUGAUUGGUCUGGUGUAUUAUCAAGUCAUGUUUGCAUGCUACAAUUGUUUUUAUUAGAGACGCACAUGUUUGUGUAUUAUUAGAGCAUGCAUACUAUCUUAAAGUAUUGUUGAGUUUUGGAUCAUUUGUGAAAUUAGCAAUAAUAAUUUUUAUGCAUCUAACAAUUUGUUAUGAAUGUAGGUUUUUGUCCCGCGAGAAUGGAAUCUCUAUUUGUAGGCUUGUCUCAUAACAAGCCAAAAAAAUCGGUGGCAACCGCAAUAGUUCGAGAAGACUAUAUUUGCACGCAAGGUGAUCUUGCUCUCAUCGAUUUUAUCAAGGAAAUCCCUUGUGAACCAAGGGUAGAAGUCGUUCUUAUUGAUGAUGCCUUUGUUGAAAGGAAGUGGAUGGAGUGUUUAUUUCAGCCGAGCGCAUAUUUAGGUGACGAGGUUAUAGACUGUUACAUAAAUUUGAUAAAAGCUCAAAAGCAUCUAAAGUGCUGAUCUGGAGGUCGCGUUCACAUAGAAAAUGCUUUCCAAUUCAAUUUCCUGAAGCGAGAUGGUGAUCUUGAAAUUAAAACAGAGGAGCUAUAUCCAAUUAAAGACAUGACACACAUAUGUAGCGCUGAACGAAGGGUGUUACUUUACCUAGACCAUGACAUGGUGUUUAUUCCGAUAAACAUCCGAGAGACGCAUUGGUAUCUUGCUGUGAUCCAUGCAAGAAAUAUGGAGAUACAAGUGCUCGAUUCACUUGGUACUUCACAAGACCGCAAAGACCUCA